AAAUAUAUUACAUAUUUCUUAACUCCUUCCGCCCUUUCGGCGUUUUGGGCACCGCUCGCUCUCGCGAGGGCAAAUCCGGCGAUUGAUCGGAGAACGAUCGAGCUUACGGUACCUUCCUCGUCUCACUGCCUCUCUUCUGCCGCUCUUCGAGGUUGGCAUGUUACCCGCUCGUUGUUGUGGAGUUGUUGUGUUCCGUCGCCUUCUUGGCUCGUAGUCAGAGUCCUCAGCUAACAUCACCAAUCCAUUCUUGUUUUUCGCCCAAGGAAUUAGGCGCAGAAAGCAUGAGGUGAUCCUCACCAUGACAAUCGACAAGUUGGGGAAAACUAGGUAUGGUGAAGGUGGCGCCAGGGCAUUUCCGUAACCACCUGAUGCCUAAGCUGCUUGCGGUCAUAAACAUAGAGAAGCAUGCUUUCCUCAUGCGGGAACAACGCGAGGCAAAGCAAGAAAAAAUGAAAGAAUAUCAGGCAGCAGCAAGGCGUCUUGAUAAUGCUCACCUUACCUUGUGGAGGUACAUGAAAGUUGACAAUGAGAUCCGAACACCUGUAACCAAGGAUGAAAUUGUAGCUGAGAGCCUAAAGCUACUAGGGAGGGAGCGGAAAUGGAGUCCGUCCCUUCCAAGGUCUCCUAUGCGGCGACUUUGAAGCCACAGUCUCCACGCACCUCGAAGAAAUGCUUCGUUGACCUUGGGGAGGAGUGCAUGCCUGCAAUGAUCUACAACAAUAAACCAGGUAUAUUUUACUCUGAGGAUGAGAUCGUUAGUAUGACUAAACCUUAUGAAUUCGCAUUAAUCGGAAAGUUUUCUGGCUGAAGGCCAAAUAAUAUGGUUGUUUUUCAAGCUUUUGAGAAUUUGGGAUUGUCUAGCUUCUAAAAUGUUCGGUUUUGCAUUCGGGAUACAUUUUAUUGCAUCUUACUUCAAAUGAAGAUAUGGCUUGUAUUUGGGCUCGUGGUGUUUGGUACAUUGGAGGUGGUGUUUGGUACAUUGGAGCUGGUGUUUGGUACAUUGGAGUGUUCCUUUGAGAAUUUUUAAGUGAUCUCCUCAUUUUUCCUAUGAGGUAGAAUCCUCUGUUCUUCCUGUUUGGAUUCAGCUUCCAGAUCUGCCUAUUCAUAUGUUUGACAAGAGGUGUUUGUUUUCAAUUGCUUGCAUUAUUGGGUAACUGAUUAAAAUCGAUGAAGCAACUGCUGAUGGAACCAGAUUGUAUAUGGCUCGGGUAUGUGUGGAGAUAGAUCUCUUAAAACCAAAGGUAGAGGAUUUUUGGAUUGGCAUUGGUGAGGAAAAGAGGCUGCAAAAAGUGGUGUUUGAAAAACACCCUACGUACUGUAUUGAUUGUUUGCAUCUGGGUCAUUCUGUAGAUGAUUGUUAUACUAAUGACAAGAAGCCGAAACCUAUGUGGAGGUCUGAUAAGAUGGAGACUAAUGCUGAUAAUGAGGAUUUAAGAAUGAUUAUAAAUCAAAGGAGGAAUACUGGGAAAGAAAAAGAGAAUUCUGCUGAUUUGAAGGAGACACAUCUUGAUGCUUUGAAUAAUAAAGAUGUGGCAAAUCAGGUUUGGAUUCAGAAAUAGGUGAGUUCCAUUAGAAUGGAAAUGGCUGCCAAAGAAGAUAAUGAAGGUGGAAAGAGAUUCCAACCUCUUUGUGCUUUGGAGGAAGUUGAGCAAGGUACCAUGCAUGAAGAAGCAAAACUGAACAGGGAUGAGGUGAUUAUUAGACAGAUGGUAUUGCUCAAGAAAGGAAUAAAAAUAGAAUUUUGGAUGGGCAGACAAGCAGUGACCAGAUGGAGGGAGAAGAGAAGUCUUUGAGAUUGGAGAUUUAGCUGGAAUUUUGGAUUCUAAUUCUGAUUUAAAUGUGGCUGGUGGGCAUCAUAGUCAGAAGGAAAUAAAUUUAAUUGAAGAUGGUGGUAUUUUGCGUGUUGGAUCAGAGCAAACAGUGGCUGGUCAGAAUGAAAAGAUGGAGAAUUCCAUUUGGGCAUAGGUGUUUACAGUGAAAAAGGCUGGCUCAGUUUCUGAACACAGAAUUGUCAAAGUUGGGGCUUCUAGCUGUGUCAACCUUGUCAGUGAAGAAUGCAGAAUUACCUACAGCAUGUGUUUCAUCUAUGGGAAAGCGUUUAGCAGUUUGUCAAUUGAAUCAAAUGACUGAUAAUGUAGAGCAAUCAGGAGGUUCUUCUUCCUUUUUAGAGAUGUAGGUAGGGAAUGUUGGUGUUGGAAUGUCCAAAUCUUUCGUGGAUACAGAUGAGUCUGAUACAUCUGUUUCUGUGCAUUUACAAAGAAGCUCUUGUCUUUCAGAUUUUUCAAGUGUGAUCCUUGAGAAAUUGAUGUCUUGCAUAAGGAAUUGGUCAUCCAACAACCUCCGAUUGUUAAUCAAAGGGUAACUCGAAGCAAAGCAAGUUCUCAAAGAGCUUCUUCUUCAAAAAAAAAAUUAAAUGUCUGGGAUAAUAUGGAACAUAAGAGGCAUAGGAAAUACCGCCUCUCUAAGAGAGCACUGUUUCUGAAAAAAAUAUCACCAUGCUAAUUUUAUGGGUAUCCUUGAGCCUUUUGUUUCUUUUGAUGAAUCUUUUAUCACUAGGAGGUUGGGUUUUAAUCAUGGUGUGACAAACUGUUCUGAGUAAAUUUGGUUUCUUUAUGAUAAUAAUGUUGAUUCUACUCUGUGUUGAUGGAUCAUGAACAAUUUUUACAUCUUAAAUUACAAUCUCAUAUUUUCCCUAUUAGUAUGUUGGUGACUGUGGGUUAUGCUAAAUGUAUGAGAAUUGAAAGAAAUGUUCUUUGAGGAAACCUUUUAGAUAUCAAGCCUGAUGUUGAUGAUUUCUGGUUAGUGGGUGGAGAUUUUAAUGUCAUAACUGGACCAGUGAGCAUUCUGUAGGAAUUCUUUCUAAGUUGGGUGUAGUGGAUGAUUUCAAUAAUUUUUUGAUGAUAAUUGGUUUAUUAGAUGCUGGUUUUGUGGGAGACAGGUUUACGUGGACUAAUAAUAAGAUUUGGAAGUGUUUGGAUAGAAUACUUAUUUCUCCAUCAUGGAAUAAUCAUAUGUUUUCAGUUCGGGUGGAGCAUUUAAGUAGGGUUGCUUCUGAUCACGGUCCUUCAUUCAUUUCAUUUCAUGGUUUUUCUCAGUCGGUGCCAUCAUUUCAAUUUCAAAAUAUGUGGAUUAAACAUCACAAUUUUUUUGCUCAUGGUUAGGCUGAAUUGGAUGUUGCCUUGUGAUGUCUUUGGACUUCAUAAAUUGCAAUUUAAACUUAAGAGGUUAAAAGCUCAUUUGAAAUGGUGGAACACAGAUGUGCUUGGGAACAUUCAUGACAAGGUCAAGCAAGCUGAGGAGGAAUUUUCUAUUGCUCAAAAGUCUUUUGAUUUGGAUCCCAAUAAAGUGAAUAAAUUGAAUAUGGCCAAGAAGCAAGCAUCUCUGUUUCAAACUUUAUAUAUGGAGGAGACUUUUUGGAAGCAAAAGGCAGCUGUUAGGUGGAUGGGUGAAGGUGACCGAAACACUAAAUUUUUCCAUAGUAUGGUACAAAAAAGGAGAAUGGCAAAUAGGAUCUUUCGGAUAUGGAAUGAGGGGAUUUGCUUGGACAAGCCGGAGCUUAUUCAAGCUUCGGGUGCAGAUUUUUUUAAGGACUUGUCUACUGGAGAGGAAUUUGAUUGCACCGAAAUAGAUAUGGAGCAUAUUCCUUCUUUAAUUAGUGCUAAUGAUAAUUCUGUUUUAUGUGCAUUACCCUCUGUGGAGAUUAAGCAGAUUAUUUUCGAUGUGUGAAGAUAGUGCAGUUGGUUUGGAUGGUUUUCUGUGCCCUUUUAUGUUGCUUGUUCGGAGAUUAUUAAGGAAGAUGUAUAUCAAGUUGUUUUGGAUUUUUUCAGGCGGGGUCAUCUUCCAAAGGGAAUGGCUGCCACUACCAUUGUCCUUUUACCGAAAAUUGAUAGUCCACUACAAUGGCAAGAUUUCAGGACAAUUAGUUUGCAAUGUCUCGAACAAGAUUAUUUCUAAAUUGAUUUCUAUUAGAUUGAGACAAACACUAGAUAAAAUUAUAUCUCCUUUGCAAAGUGGCUUUGUGUUAGGGCGUUUAUAUUAAAUAAUAUUCUUUUGGCUCAGGAGCUUAAUCACAAAUUGAAUUAUCAUGUGAGAGGUGGUAAUUUAAUUCUAAAGCUUGAUAUGGCUAAGGUUUAUGAUAGGGUUCAAUGAUGUUUCCUAUUUAAGGUAGUGACAGCUUUUGAGUUUUCUGAUUCAGUUAUUGAUCUUAUUAGAAGAUGUGUUGAUGCCUGUUGGUUUUCUAUGCGUAUUAAUGGUCAUUUGUCUGGUUUCUUUCAUGCAAAACGAGGCCUUCAACAAGGGGAUCCUAUUUCCCCACCGUUAUUUAUUAUUGCUGCUGAAUUUUUUUCUAGGGGAUUUGAUUCUCUUUUUAAUAAAUGCUCUUUGAAUCUGGAUGUGGGGUUAAGAUAUCACAUCUUGCAUAUGCUGAUGAUAUUAUGAUCUUAAUGAAUGGAUCUAUUAAUGGUGUGAAAAGAGUUAAAGAUUUUUUGAGGACGUAUGAAACUUGUUCGGGUCAAUUGAUUAAUGAGGUUAAGAGUCAGUUUUUUCUUCUAAAGGAAUAUGUGUUGGGCAUAGAAAGUUGAUUGCUACCAUUUCCGAAUUUCACGAAGGGCAGUUCCCAAUUAUUUAUUUGGGGGUUCCUAUUUUUUCUGGAAAUAGAAAGUCGGUUUAUUUUCAGUCUCUUUUAGAAAAAUUAAGAAAAAAGCUUCUUGGAUGGAAUAUCUCGCGGCUCUCACAUGAGGGCCAGUUACUUCUUAUUUAGAGUGUUGUGUUCCUUGCCCUUUUAUUUAUUGCAGAUUAGGCUUCCUCCUUUAUGCUAUGUUUACUCUAAAGUACGAAUGAGGAAGGGAAAGGAAUCUAUGGUAGAAAAUUAUCCUCAGAGGAAGAGAAGAGAAAGGGUGAAGAAAUCCCUUCCUUUACAUGCUUGUUUAUCUUGAUAGAGGAAGAUGAAUAUAUGCAAUGUAAUUUUGUAAAUAAAAAAGGGUACAUGUGUCAUUUUUUUUUAGGUACAUGGUGUAAUUUUGUAAGUUAAAAAGGGUACAUGCGUCUUUUUUUUUUUGGUAUAUGGUGUAAUUUUGUAAAUGAAAAGGGGUACAUGUGUUAUUUUUUUUUCCAUCCGUUGCUUUCCGUCCGAUUUUUAGGUGAUCAAUUUUGGCUCCAAAACUAUCUGUUGAUGGAUUGCAUUUCUUUUUCAUCUGAAAAUUUUAAUGAAGUAAAUUGCGGAAACUUUUCCUUAGUUUUGGUUUCCACUUUCCCAAGUAAACUGACUAUUAGUAAUCCUCCAUCAAUUUGAAAUGAUGUUUGCUAAUUUUUUUCUGGGGAUCUUUGGUUUUAAAAAAGAAGACGCAUUGGAUUUCUUGGUCUGAGAUUUGUAGACCAAAAUUAGGAGGAUUGGGGGUAAGGAGACUUUCAGAUGUGGCUACUACAUUAUCAAUUAAAUUGUGGUAUCGUUUUAGAGAGCAGAAGACUCCAUGUUAAACCUCCUGUUUUAGUUGAGUUAAAAUGUAAUGCUUUUCCAUAUUGGCGACGACUUAUUAAAAUUCGCAGCAUUGCAGAACAGCAUAUUGGGUGGAUUAUAGGCAAUGGAAAACCAAAAUUUUGGAAUGAUUGUUAGCUUGAUAGUGGUCCAUUAUUUAGGUCUUAUGUUGUUUUGGGGAUUCCAGAUGUUUUGGUUUCAAAUUUUAUUGAUGAGCAGUGUUGGAACCUGGUUAAACCUCGGGGAGCCAUCUGGAUGUUAUUGUGAAAGAGAUUGGUGAGUUGCCUAUUUUGAUGAAAGAACCGGAUAGAUUAGUAUGGAGACCUUCUAAAGAUGGCCAAUUCUCUCUAAAAUCUGCAUGGAAUUGUGUUAGAACUCCACAUCAGUCCCAUUUAAUUUGGAGGGCUUGUUGGAGUAGAUUGUUGAUUCCGAAUAUCUCUAUAUUUGUUUGGAGAUUUUUACGACGAAGAUUGCCAGUUGAUGAUAUUUUAAAACAAAGGGGGGCCUGUUUGGCUUCUAAAUGCCAAUGUUGUGAAUCCAUGGAAUCUUAGGAUCAUCUUUUUUUCAAUGGGACAAUUGCUCGAGGUAUAGGCCUACUUUGUACAUCUUUUUCAGGUUAGAAAUUUUAUUAUGUUUGAGAGUUGGAUGGUUGGAGCUGGAUGGUCUCAUCAAGUCCAUGUCCGUGAGGUGAUACCUUUCCUUAUUUUUUGGUUUUUGUGGGUGGCUCGUAAUGAUGCUAAGCAUCGUGGUAUUACCCCAUCGGUGCAAAAAAUUAUUAGGAAUAUUAUGCAAUAUAUCUGUCAUAGUAGUGCUGUUGGGUUUAUUAAGAAUUGUCAUUGGAAUGGUUACAUUUUGGUAGCUAAGUUCCUUGGGAUACAUGCUGAGAUUAAGUCAAUCAAUAUAGUUACUAAGGUGAAGUGGCAAAAGCCCGAAGUGGGGGUCUAUAAGCUCAACACUGAUGGGUACUCGAAAGGUAACCCAGGGCCCUCUUAUGGGUUUAUUGUUAGAGAUUCUAAUGAAUUGGUUAUUAGAGUUAUGCAGGCAUCUAUUGGUUUGGGAACAACUGUGAGAGCAGAAUUAUUUGCCAUUUGGAAAGGUUUGCAAUUUUGUAUUGAUAAUUUUUACUUUCCUUUAUGGCUUGAAUCUCAUUCCAUGGUUGCUUUACAAAUUAUUCGGUCUCCUUUUGUAUGCUGGGAGUUUAGACAUUUGGUACUGAAAAUUAAGAACCUGAUUGGUAACUAUAAUGUUCAUUGAAUUUGUAAAUUGGAGAGGAUUGGUCUUCCUUAUGUGAGACUUUCAUGUAAACCUGAUACAUAGGGGAGUGUGGAAUUUCUGGAAAAUCUCAAGGGGGAGGUACUGGACAUGAAGACAGCUUAUAUUUUGUUGAAAUGUGAUGUUUAAUCAGAAAAGUAGAUUUUGUGGUGUUCCUUGAAGAUUGGUUUCUCUGAUAUGGGUUUCUGAAUUUUGAUGGAUCUGUUCUGGUAUGGGUUUCUGUUUGUGUAUAUGGAGUUCCUGAUAUGGCUAUUUCAUGGAAAACCUCAAAGGGUGCAUGUCUAGCUUUUGAAGGCAUGAAUUUUGAGAUUCCUGGUCUGUGUCACAAGCAUAGGGGUUUUGUAUUUUGCUACAAGGUUUCUUUCUUUUCAUAUUGUGAAGCACUUGUGAAAUGUUCUUCUUGGUGUUUUACCGGCUGGAGGUUCCCAAAAUGUGAGGGUCUUGCUGCUUAUUGGUGCAAGAUCUUUGUGAUUUGGUGGCUUCUUUGUGUUGCGGAUUGGUGGUUAUACUAAAAGGUUUUCCUGUGCCGGGAAUUCAAACUCUCUCUUUGCAAUGGUGUAUUUUGGUUUGUAUUGGAGAAGUACCCUGAGGCUAUGAUUUGUCUUGAUCAGAAGUUGAUGAGGUUUUAUUGGUGAUGUUGGUAUGCUUGUUUUGAUAGCUUUGCUAUUUAAUGAAUCCAGCAUCUGUUUAGUGCAGCUUCAUUAUUACCAUGGAGUUUUGAUUCUCAAUUUCUGCUAUGUGGUAAUUGAUUAAUGAGUGUAAGUUUAAGCCUGCUAAAAUGAUGAUGAUUGUUAAUGCUAUUGUUUGUUUUUGGAAUGGGGGAGGGCUGCUGUUAUUCUAGUUGUUUUGGUAAAUUUGUGGAGCUGCAAUUUUUUAAACGUGGUUUUCUUUUUGUAAUGUUGUAAGGAGCUGAUGUAAUUAUAUUGGUGGUUUUGAUAGGGAAGCUGGUGUUUUUUCUGAUGUUUUUUUUAUAUGGUGAAAGCUUAUGGAUGAAGAAGCUUGUUUGGUGUUAGAUGUAUAUUUUAUUGAUUUGAGAUGGUAUCACAAAUCUGAAGUGUGUUUAGAUGUCUAUUGGUGAUUCGGUGAUGUGAUAAUCACUUGUAUUUCUUGCACUUUGUGUGCAAGAAUUAGAUUUCAUUUCUUUUUUGAGUAGUCUGUUUGGAGAUCAUGGUAUGGACUUAUUUUUGUGAGCUUGGAGGCAUAUUCUCGUCCGUUCAUUGUUGGUGGUUAUUUUGGAGAUACAAGUCCUCAAGGAAGUGGCAGAAACAUCUUUGGUAUGCUGUUAUUUUGUUAUAGAGUUUGUAAGUAAAGUCUUUGUGUUUUGUGAUCUUGGAAUGUAAGUAUAGAGAGGAGCUAUCUUAGUUUGAAUACACAUGUAAAUCUUUGGAGUCUUUGUAAAUUGUAGUAUGAGGUCAGGUUUACUAUGGUUUUCUUUUCAUAGAUGCAAUUUCUUUUUGAAUUAGAAAAAUAGUUAGCUUGUAAAUUUACAGACUC